rnacentral:rRNA from 1 species
AGAUGGCACCGUCUGGGCGAAAGGGAGUCCGGUUCCUAUUCCGGAACCCGGCCGCGGAACCGCUCCAAUUCGGGCCCUCAUCCGAGGACUCGUCGGGGUGACCCGAAAUGACCCGGAGAAGCCGUAGGGAGGUCCGGGGAGAGUUGUCUCUUCUCUAUAAGCGUUCGAGUUCCCUGGAAGCCUCUAGGAGGGAGAUAGGGUUUGGAACGCGAAGAGCACCGCACUUACGGCGGUGUCCGGAUCUUCCCCUCGGACCUUGAAAAUCCGGGCGAGGGCCACGAGGAACACCGCGCCGGCUCGUACCCAUAUCCGCAGCAGGUCUCCAAGGUGAAUAGCCUCUAGUCGAUAGAAUAAUGAAGGUAAGGGAAGUCGGCAAAUCCGAUCUGUAACUUCGGGACAAGGAUUGGCUCUGAGGAUCGUGGCGCGCCGGGCUUGGUCGGGAAGUGGAGCGGUGCCAACGUGCCGGGCCUGGGCGAGGCGAAGGUCGCUCGCCGUCCGGACCCUAGCUCGGUCCCGUGCCUUGGCCACCCACGGACCUUCCUUGCUGCGAGCCUCCCGGCUGUCUAGUUUCCGGCCCAGCCGGAGGACGGGCCGGAAGGCUCUUCGGCCGCCAUAGAACGAUCAACUUAGAACUGGCA